ACUACGUCAGAGGUCUGGUACCGACACAGAGACGCCAUUCUAGUCAUUUCUUUCUGGAUAGUACGCCGUCCAUUGAAGCUCCUCAGUUCACAGUUUUAUAAAAAUUGCCAAAUACCAGCUGUUAUCCUUCUGUAAAAAAUGCCUCCUUGUUUGUCAAAAUCUGUAAUGAGAGACGUCUACUGCAUUUAUCCACAAAAGAAUAAUGCUGUACCACAAUACAACCAAUGAAUGCCUCCGUGUUUAUCAAAAUCAAUAAUGAGAGACGUCUACACCAUUUAUCCACAAAAGAAUAAUGCUGUACCACAA